GGCUGGUCCUCAUGCAGUGGUGUUUGCAACUGAUGAUCACAACCAGCUAUGGAUUCCUUUGUUCCUUCUCCACUCUACUCCUACGGCUUCACUUGUCCAGCCAUUA
ensembl:misc_RNA Y_RNA Y RNA